rnacentral:rRNA from 1 species
UACGUAGGGUGCAAGCGUUGUCCGGAAUUAUUGGGCGUAAAGAGCUCGUAGGUGGCCUGUCGCGUCGGCUGUGAAAACUCGGGGCUCAACUCCGAGCUUGCAGUCGAUACGGGCAGGCUAGAGUUCGGCAGGGGAGACUGGAAUUCCUGGUGUAGCGGUGAAAUGCGCAGAUAUCAGGAGGAACACCGGUGGCGAAGGCGGGUCUCUGGGCCUUUCCUGACGCUGAGACGCGAAAGCGUGGGGAGCGAACCGG